AUGGGGAAGAUAAUGGCUGCCUGAGCAACGUCUCGGAGCAGGCGCUGGGGUAGAGGCGGGUCUCAACCAGCGACUCAUCGGAGGCGGGCUUGAGAGAGGCGGCUGGGGAGGCGCGGAGAAGCCUCAGCGGAGACGGCCGAAACAACCGAGUGAGAUCCUGACCCUAAAACCGAAUAAUUUUCCACUUGUUCAUCAAGAUGGAAAACUCGGAUUCUAACGAUAAAGGAAGUGGCGAUCAAUCUGCAGCACAGCGCAGAAGUCAGAUGGACCGAUUGGAUCGAGAAGAAGCUUUCUAUCAGUUUGUAAAUAACCUGAGUGAAGAAGAUUAUAGGCUUAUGAGAGAUAACAAUUUGCUAGGCACCCCAGGUGAAAGUACUGAGGAAGAGUUGCUAAGAAGAC